GGAGGAGUUAAUGGAGGUUAAGGUGGGCGCCUGUCGCAGGGGAGAUGGCUCGUCCAUGUAUGUCUAAGCAUCCACCCGUAGGUCACUGUGGCUAGCCUAGCCUAGCCUAGCCAUGCCAUGCAUGUAUAAGCCAUCUUGCCGCGGCAGGACUCCAUCCAACCUCUAAAGAUGAGCAACUAUAUCCCACUUUCACCUAUUUUCAUACUGCAUAUGUAUAUGUACUAGUUAUUCAUUCUCUUUGUUUUUGUCUUCUUAGAUUGACUUUGGACAGCUCCUGUACUGAAGGUUGAACACUGAACUUUGGGUCCAGC
rnacentral:lncRNA from 1 species